rnacentral:rRNA from 1 species
AAUCAUUAUGAUUUUAAAGAAAAGUAAGCUCAGUUGUGCUGGCUUGUUCAAAUGAGAGGCAUGUGCAUGCUUUGGGUUUCACUUUUUCUUACAUUCACACCAUGUGCACCUUUUGUAGGUCUUUCGAGAUCUAUGUAUUUUUAUUAUACUCCAAUGUAUGUUCAUAGAAUGUCUUUUAUCUUAUUGCGCAGUUGCUUUUUCUUUUUGAAAAGUGAUUGAUGCAAGUAAGUUGUUUUUACAACUUUCAGCAAUGGAUCUCUUGGCUCUCGCAUCGAUGAAGAACGCAGCGAAUUGCGAUAUGUAAUGUGAAUUGCAGAUUUUCCGUGAAUCAUCGAAUUUUUGAACGCACCUUGCACUCCUUGGUAUUCCGAGGAGUAUGCCUGUUUGAGUGUCAUUAAAUUCUCAACGCCUUACAUUUUUGUUGUUUCAAAAGUGUACAUGGAUGGUUGGAUUGUGGAGGGAAUGCUGGCAAUUUCUGUCGGCUCCUCUGAAAUGCAUUAGCAAGGAUAAGUUUUGCAAUUGUUGAUGUGAUAAUGAUCAUCGCAUUUGACUGAAGCUUUUGAGUCUUUGCUUACAAUAGUCCUUUAGGACAGUCUUAUUGAAAUUUUGACCUCAAUCAGGUAGACUACCCGCCUGAAACUUAAGCNUAUCAAUANNNNNNNNNNNNNNNNNNNNNNNNNNUGCCCCCUAGUAACUGCGAGUGAAGAGGGAAGAGCUCAAAUUUUAAAUCUGGCAGUUCUUGCGGCUGCCCGAGUUGUAAUCUAGAGAAGUGCUUUCCGCGCUGGACCGUGUACAAGUCUCCUGGAAUGGAGCAUCACAGAGGGUGAGAAUCCCGUCUCUGACACGGACUACCAGGGCUUUUGUGAUGUGCUCUCAACGAGUCGAGUUGUUUGGGAAUGCAGCUCAAAUUGGGUGGUAAAUUCCAUCUAAAGCUAAAUACAGGCGAGAGACCGAUAGCGAACAAGUACCGUGAGGGAAAGAUGAAAAGAACUUUGGAAAGAGAGUUAAACAGUACGUGAAAUUGCUGAAAGGGAAACGCUUGAAGUCAGUCGCGUUGAUUGGGGAUCAACCUUACUUUUGUUGGGUGCAUUUCCUAAUUGAUGGGUCAGCAUCAAUUUUGAUCAUUGGAUAAAGGUCAAGGGAAUGUGACAUCUUUCGGGGUGUGUUAUAGCCCUUGACUAUACAGUGGUUGGGAUUGAGGAACUCAGCACUUGUGCUUAGGAUGCUGGCAUAAUGGCUUUAAGCGACCCGUCUUGAAACACGGACCAAGGAGUUUAACAUGCCUGCGAGUGUUUGGGUGUCAAACCCGAGUGCGUAAUGAAAGUGAAAGUUGAGACCUCUGUCGUGGAGGGCAUCGACGCCCGGACCGGAGCUUUUGCAAUGGAUCUGUGGUGGAGCAUGUAUGUUGGGACCCGAAAGAUGGUGAACUAUGCCUGAAUAGGGUGAAGCCAGAGGAAACUCUGGUGGAGGCUCGUAGCGGUUCUGACGUGCAAAUCGAUCGUCGAAUUUGGGUAUAGGGGCGAAAGACUAAUCGAACCAUCUAGUAGCUGGUUCCUGCCGAAGUUUCCCUCAGGAUAGCAGAAACUUGUAUCAGAUUUAUGUGGUAAAGCGAAUGAUUAGAGGCCUUGGGGUUGAAACAACCUUAACCUAUUCUCAAACUUUAAAUAUGUAAGAACAAGCUGUCUCUUAGUUGGACUGCUUGGUGAUUGAGAGUUUCUAGUGGGCCAUUUUUGGUAAGCAGAACUGGCGAUGCGGGAUGAACCGAUCGUGAGGUUAAGGUGCCGGAAUAUACGCUCAUCAGACACCACAAAAGGUGUUAGUUCAUCUAGACAGCACGACGGUGGCCAUGGAAGUCGGAAUCCGCUAAGGAGUGUGUAACAACUCACCUGCCGAAUGAACUAGCCCUGAAAAUGGAUGGCGCUCAAGCGUAUUACCCCAUACCUCGCCGUCAGUGUUGAAGUGAUGCACUGACGAGUAG